GACAGAGGUCCCGAGCGUUAGGCGGAAUCACUGGGCUUAAAGCGUGUGUAGGCGGAGUUCUAAGUACCUUGUGAAAUCCCACGGCUUAACCGUGGAACUGCUUGGUAUACUGGUUCUCUUGGGCCACUUAGGGGCUACCGGAACAAACGGUGGAGCGGUGAAAUGCGUAGAUAUCGAGAGGAACACCUGCGGCGAAGGCGGGUAGCUGGGCCGACACUGACGCUGAGGCGCGAAAGCCAGGGGAGCGAACGGG
rnacentral:rRNA from 1 species